rnacentral:rRNA from 1 species
GAUGAACGCUGGCGGCGUGCCUAAUACAUGCAAGUCGAGCGAACAGAUGAGGAGCUUGCUCCUCUGACGUUAGCGGCGGACGGGUGAGUAACACGUGGAUAACCUACCUAUAAGACUGGGAUAACUUCGGGAAACCGGAGCUAAUACCGGAUAAUAUAUUGAACCGCAUGGUUCAAUAGUGAAAGGCGGUUUUGCUGUCACUUAUAGAUGGAUCCGCGCCGCAUUAGCUAGUUGGUAAGGUAACGGCUUACCAAGGCAACGAUGCGUAGCCGACCUGAGAGGGGGAUCGGCCAAACUGGAACUGAGACACGGUCCAGACUCCUACGGGAGGCAGCAGUAGGGAAUCUUCCGCAAUGGGCGAAAGCCUGACGGAGCAACGCCGCGUGAGUGAUGAAGGUCUUCGGAUCGUAAAACUCUGUUAUUAGGGAAGAACAAAUGUGUAAGUAACUAUGCACGUCUUGACGGUACCUAAUCAGAAAGCCACGGCUAACUACGUG